UAUUCUGCCCCACGGGGAAGUAUGAGAAGCUUCGACUCAGGUUCGACUCGAGCGUAGCGAGAGAACGUUGCCGCAGGCAACGGCCCGAAGGGCGAGGCGCUUUAGCGCCGAGUCAUCCUUCCCCCACUACUG
rnacentral:sRNA from 1 species